UGGCCAUACCAUGAUGAAAGCACCGGUUCUCGUCCAAUCACCGAAGAGCGUCAUUUGGGUGCAGUCAGCACUUGGAGGGUGACCACCAGGGAACACUGUGUGUCGUU